UAACGAAUAUUCCGCAAUGGGCGAAAGCCUGACGGAGCGACGCCGCGUGGAGGACGAAUUCCUUCGGGAUGUAAACUCCUUUUGGGGUGAAGAAAACAAGGAGCGCUAAUACCGCUCUGCGUUGAUCGAUCCCAGAAUAAGCCUGGGCUAAUUCCGUGCCAGCAGCCGCGGUAAGACGGAACAGGCAAGCGUUGUUCGGAAUCACUGGGCUUAAAGCGCGUGUAGGCGGCCUGGUAAGUACCUUGUGAAAUACCCCGUCUCAAUCGGGGCACUGCUUGGUAUACUGCCGGGCUUGAGGUGGGUAGGGGUGCCUGGAACUCUAGGUGGAGCGGUGAAAUGCGUAGAUAUCUAGAGGAACGCCUGUGGCGAAAGCGGGGCACUGGGCCUUACCUGACGCUGAGGCGCGAAAGCGUGGGUAGCAAACG
rnacentral:rRNA from 1 species